rnacentral:rRNA from 1 species
GUGAGGAAUAUUGGACAAUGGGCGCAAGCCUGAUCCAGCCAUGCCGCGUGCAGGAAGACGCAUCUAUGGUGUGUAAACUGCUUUUGUACGGGAAGAAACACUCCCUCGUGAGGGAGCUUGACGGUACCGUAAGAAUAAGGAUCGGCUAACUCCGUGCCAGCAGCCGCGGUAAUACGGAGGAUCCAAGCGUUAUCCGGAAUCAUUGGGUUUAAAGGGUCCGUAGGCGGUUUAAUAAGUCAGUGGUGAAAGCCGAUCGCUCAACGAUUGAACGGCGAUUGAUACUGUUAGACUUGAAUUACAAGGAAGUAACUAGAAUAUGUAGUGUAGCGGUGAAAUGCUUAGAUAUUACAUGGAAUACCAAUUGCGAAGGCAGGUUACUACUUGUGGAUUGACGCUGAUGGACGAAAGCGUGGGGAGCGAACAGGAUUAGAAACCCUAGUAGUCC